UCAUUUCUUUCACCACAGGCCAGAGCAUGCUGCUUCCUUCGCUCAUGGCUUUCCCUUUCAUGGUGCAGCAGACUAGCCAGAUAGUUGGAGUUUGAUACCUAAGUCAAUGCCAGCCAUAGCUGAGGGUACAGGUGGCUGUGCAAAGUCAUUUUCAGGAUGUUGAUGCAAGACUGAGAAAUGGGAAACCUGCCAGUGCCUAUUCCAGCUUUGACCUGGCUGGGGCAGCCAUGGGUCAAGGCGUCUCUGUAGUCCUGGUUUCUACCAUCAUGAGGAAGGGGAGCUGCAAGAACCAUCUAGGCAGGCACCCAGGACUGUGUCAGGAAGACCUGGGUUUGAGCCCUGCCUCCAUCAAUCUCAAGAUAUGGAACCUCAGGAAAGGAAGGAGAGGCACUGCUGAGGAUAUGCGCACCUGUGAGGGUAUCUCCACCCAGUUCUUCACCUGUAAGUCAUUAUUACCCUGGACUCAAAACUGUUUGGAGAUUUGGCUGGGCUCCGAGUGAGCCUUCAGUUAGGAAGCUACAGCAGAAUCUACUGAAGCAAGCUGCAGAUUGCUGGUGCUUGACGUUGCACCAUUUCAGUUUGGUUUCAUUUUCCUCCCCAGCUGGCUCUUGAGAUACUCGGCUAGAUUGCAAACCAAUGUUUGUAAGUAUCUCUCCUAGGAUCACUCAGAGUUUUGUGGCCCCUGGGCA